AUUGAACGCUGGCGGCAGGCCUAACACAUGCAAGUCGAACGAGUGGCGGACGGGUGAGUAAUGUCUGGGAAACUGCCCGCUGGAGGGGGAUAACUACUGGGAACGGUAGCUAAUACCGCAUACCAUCUGAUGUGCCCAGAUGGGAUUAGCUAGUAGGUGGGGUAACGGCUCACCUAGGCGACGAUCCCUAGCUGGUCUGAGAGGAUGACCAGCCACACUGGAACGGAGACACGGUCCAGACUCCUACGGGAGGCAGAAGUGGGGAAUAUUGCACAAUGGGCGAAAGCCGGAUGCAGCCAUGCCGCGUGUGUGAAGAAGGCCUUCGGGUUGUAAAGUACUUUCAGCGAGGAGGCGUUACUCGCAGAAGAAGCACCGGCUAACUCCGUGCCAGCAGCCGCGGUAAUUC
rnacentral:rRNA from 1 species